UAAAUAAAUUCAGGCAUUAAGGGGUUAGGGUCAGAGUGAAACGUUUUUGUUCGAUUCUCUGCAUGUCUAGCACAUAACUGCAGAAUUGACAAUAAAGCAUCUUGAAUCUUGAAUCUUGUAACAGUGUUGGUUGUCUGAUUGGGCCAUUUUGCAUAACU